rnacentral:lncRNA from 1 species
CGGCCACAGUCAAAGGUAUUAUUCCCUCCGUCGGAACAGCAUCGCCGGUAAACCCUACCAGAGGGGAGCUAAUCGGCCUCAAAUGACUGUCAAGGAUGGACAUUCUUGAAAAAGCAUCAUAGAACAAAAUAUUGGCCGAGCUUUCAUUGUCGACAAGAAUGCGGCGGACGUCGUAAUUUGCUAUAUUCAAGGAAACUACAACCGCAUCGUUAUGGGGGAAUUGAACCCCCUGAGCGUCUUCUUCAGUAAAGGUUAUGGGCUCCUCAAUCUUUUAUCGUUUGGGGGGUACGGCCAGUACGUUGGUUGCUUCCUGUCGGGAUCCUCCCGAGAUGGUGUUGGUGAAAUCCGUCGG